AUGCACAAAAUCUAAAUUCAUCGUGUGCUGAACAAAAACAGAAUAAUAAAUGUAUACCAUUCAAUUUUUUCUUAGAAUUACGAUUUAUGUACCCACUAAACAUGAAACCUUUAGAAAACGUUACAUUCGAGAAAAAUACAUCGCAUUAAAAACGUUUUAUAAUGAAUGUUUAUGCUAUGUUGCAUAGACGUUUUGGUAAAACGUUUUAUUUCUAACGUUUACGGAACGUCACAAGAACAUUCCAUUUCUGUAAUUAAAACGAAUAUUUGGAACGUUUCAAUUGAAACGUUACACGACUUUCAAGCAACAUUCAGUUUGUAACGUUACAUAUUAACCGUUUUGCAACGUUUAGAGAACAUUUAAUUUGUAACGUGUCAUUAGUAACAUUUUAAAAUGUAAGCCUAACGUUAUAUACGAAACGUUUCUAAAACAUUAAUUAUAUAAUGUUACAUGAAUUUUCUCAUGUAAAACGUUUAUUUUGGGACAUUGAAAAACGUUUUAAUAACAUUAUAUAUGUGAUGUUAGUGAAAUGUUCAUUGCACAACGUCGUACGAGUGUUGCAUGUAUAACGUUUUAUUUGUAACGGAACAAAACGUUUUAACAACGAUAUAUAUGUGCGAACUAGACGCACACAUGCGUGACGCCGUGUGCUCGGCCUAAACAAUUGAAAGUUAAUAUAACUUUUUCGCGUGGUGUCCUUUUUGCUAAGGCUGGAUCUACAAUAGCUGUAAGCCUUAUGCCAUAAGAAACUGUAAUCAAUUGUAAUUGAAAGUGACAAGAAAAACCGAAUAUAUUGUGCGUGCGGUGCUAGUCGAGUAUCAUAUCCCAGCAAACACCAAAUAUAAAUGCAAUAUAACGUGGGAGUAACAUGUAAUGUAACAGAUGUUACAUUCUAUUUAUAUUAUAGUUACGAAACUUUACUACAUAUAUGUGAUGUAACAAAGUUAUGAAGCUGUAAUAUUACUCCGUUAUUUGUAUGUUACAAUAACCGAACAGUGAUGUAACCACAAUGUUGCGUGGUUACACAACAAUUGUUUUAUUUAUGUUAUAUGGAUAUUAUAAAAUUUGAAUCUUGUGAGACUCUAACCUCAAUCGCACAACGUACAUCUCGUGCUAUUAGGCGCGCUUUCCGCUAGUGGAUGCUAUAAUGACAAAAGAGAGACGUUGUUUUCUUGCAACUUGACUUUAAUCAGGAUUCUGCCAAUUAUUCUUACAUCAUUCGGACAACUGUUCUUCUUAAAAUUUAAAAGAACGUAAAGAAUAACUGAAAUUUAUAAAAGCUGAAGAAAUUUUCACAAGGAUUAGAACAGAAAACUGAACUUAAAUGGAAGCGCUUGCACUCUCAUGUCACUAUCAUGUCCUGACAAUUUCGGAUUUUAUAAAACUAUAGGAGAUGUUGUGAUUGACGUUGAAAUUGUGAUUGACAUCUGGAGCAGAGCUAUAAUUUUGUUUAACAUUACGUGAAGUUUAUUUAAUGUUUUUCUCUUAUUUUCCCUCAUCUUUUGUUUUUAAAA